rnacentral:rRNA from 1 species
CUGGGAUACCACUUGGAAACAGGUGCUAAUACCGGAUAAGAAAGCGGAUCGCAUGAUCAGCUUUUAAAAGGCGGCGUAAGCUGUCGCUAUGGGAUGGCCCCGCGGUGCAUUAGCUAGUUGGUAAGGUAAAGGCUUACCAAGGCGAUGAUGCAUAGCCGAGUUGAGAGACUGAUCGGCCACAUUGGGACUGAGACACGGCCCAAACUCCUACGGGAGGCAGCAGUA